rnacentral:rRNA from 1 species
UACGGGGGGGGCAAGCGUUGUUCGGAAUUACUGGGCGUAAAGGGCGCGUAGGCGGCCUUCUAAGUCGGACGUGAAAUCCCUCGGUUCAACCGAGGAACUGCGUCCGAUACUGAAAGGCUUGAAUCCGGGAGAGGGAUGUGGAAUUCCAGGUGUAGCGGUGAAAUGCGUAGAUAUCUGGAGGAACACCGGUGGCGAAGGCGCCUUGCUGGCCAAUUUCUGACGCUGAGGCGCGAAAGCGUGGGGAGCAAACAGG